AGAACGACUCUCGGCAACGGAUAUCUCGGCUCUCGCAUCGAUGAAGAACGUAGCGAAAUGCGAUACUUGGUGUGAAUUGCAGAAUCCCGUGAACCAUCGAGUCUUUGAACGCAAGUUGCGCCCGAAGCCCUUAGGCCGAGGGCACGCCUGCCUGGGCGUCACCA
rnacentral:rRNA from 2 species